rnacentral:rRNA from 1 species
GAUGAACGCUGGCGGCGUGCCUAAUACAUGCAAGUCGAGCGAACAGACGAGGAGCUUGCUCCUUUGACGUUAGCGGCGGACGGGUGAGUAACACGUGGGUAACCUACCUAUAAGACUGGGAUAACUUCGGGAAACCGGAGCUAAUACCGGAUAAUAUUUCGAACCGCAUGGUUCGAUAGUGAAAGAUGGCUUUGCUAUCACUUAUAGAUGGACCUGCGCCGUAUUAGCUAGUUGGUAAGGUAACGGCUUACCAAGGCAACGAUACGUAGCCGACCUGAGAGGGUGAUCGGCCACACUGGAACUGAGACACGGUCCAGACUCCUACGGGAGGCAGCAGUAGGGAAUCUUCCGCAAUGGGCGAAAGCCUGACGGAGCAACGCCGCGUGAGUGAUGAAGGUCUUCGGAUCGUAAAACUCUGCUAUUAGGGAAGAACAAACGUGUAAGUAACUGUGCACGUCUUGACGGUACCUAAUCAGAAAGCCACGGCUAACUACGUGCCAGCAGCCGCGGUAAUACGUAGGUGGCAAGCGUUAUCCGGAAUUAUUGGGCGUAAAGCGCGCGUAGGCGGUUUUUUAAGUCUGAUGUGAAAGCCCACGGCUCAACCGUGGAGGGUCAUUGGAAACUGGAAAACUUGAGUGCAGAAGAGGAAAGUGGAAUUCCAUGUGUAGCGGUGAAAUGCGCAGAGAUAUGGAGGAACACCAGUGGCGAAGGCGACUUUCUGGUCUGUAACUGACGCUGAUGUGCGAAAGCGUGGGGAUCAAACAGG